rnacentral:rRNA from 1 species
ACACGUUGAUCCUGCGUGAGGUCGCUGCUAUCAGAGUUCGACUUAACUAAGCUAGCCCUGGGGGUCGCAAGACCACCGGCACACAGUUCCGUAACACGUCGAUAAUCUGCCCUUAGGUAGGGGAUAACCUCGGAAAACUGAGGCUAAAACCCUAUAGGAGAUAGGUACUGGAAGGUUCUUUCUCCAAAAAGCAGUGCCUAAGGAUGAGUCGGCGGCCGAUUAGGCUGUUGGUGGGGUAAUGGCCCACCAAACCAAUGAUCGGUAGGGGCCUUGAAAGAGGUAGCCCCGAGGAGGACACUGAGAUAAGGGUCCUGACUCUACGGAGUAUAGCAAGUGCGAAACCUUUACAAUACAUGAAAGUGUGAUAAGGGAACUCUGAGUGCUUAUGCAAUGCAUAGGCUUUUGCUGAGUGUAAAAAACUCGGAGAAUAAGUGGUGGGCAAGACUGGUGCCAGCAGCCGCGGUAACACCAGCGCCACAAGUGGGGACCCGUUUUAUUGGGCCUAAAGCGUCCGUAGCCGGUUUAGUAAAUCUUUUGUGAAAUCGUUGGGCUUAACCUAACGGCGUGCAGAGGAAACUGCUAAACUUGAGACCGGGAGGAGUCAGAGGUAUUCCUUGGGUAGCGGUAAAAUGCAAUAAUCCAAGGAAGACCACCUGUGGCGGAGGCGUCUGACUAGAACAGGUCUGACGGUGAGGGACGAAAGCCAGGGGAGCGAACCGGAUUAGAUACCCGAGUAGUCCUGGCUGUAAACUCUGCGAGCUAGGUGUUGCAUUUUCCUCGAGAAUAUGCAGUGUCGAAGCGAAGGCGUUAAGCUCGCCGCCUGGGUAGUACGGUCGCAAGACUGAAACUUAAAGGAAUUGGCGGGGGAGCACAACAAGGGGUGCGGCGUGCGGUUUAAUCCAACUCAACACGGAGAAUCUCACCAGAAGCGACGGCAGGAUGAAAGCCAAGCUGAAGACUUUGCUUAACAAGCCGAGAGGUGGUGCAUGGCCGUCGUCAGCUCGUGCCGUGAGGUGUCCUGUUAAGUCAGGCAACGAGCGAGACCUGUACCUACAAUUGCGAACGGCAGAUUUUCUGGACCGGGCACAUUGUAGGGACUGCCUUUGAAAAAAGGAGGAAGGUGCAGGCAACGGUAGGUCUGUAUGCCCCGAAUCUUCUGGGCUACACGCGCGCAACAAUGGUAGGGACAAUGGGAUACAACCCCGAAAGGGGAAGUUAAUCCUCAAAACCCUAUCUUAGUCCAGAUUGAGGGUUGUAACUCACCCUCAUGACGUCGGAAUCCCUAGUAACCAGACGUUAGCAUCGUCCGGUGAAUAUGUCCCUGCUCCUUGCACACACCGCCCGUCAAGCCAACCGAGCAGGGUUAAGGUGAAACCUAAUCUUUAAUUAGGUUGAAUCAUGGCUCAGUGAGGUGGGCUAAGUCGUCACAA